rnacentral:tRNA from 1 species
GGGGAUAUAGCACAGUUGGGAGUGCGCUCGGUUCGCAUCCGAGAGGUCGAGGGUUCGAGUCCCUUUAUCUCCA